UCAGGAUGAACGCUAGCGGCAGGCCUAACACAUGCAAGUCGAGGGGUGGGAGGCUUGCUCUCGCUGACGACCGGCGCACGGGUGCGUAACGCGUAUACACCUACCUUUUGGAGGGGAAUAGCCCAGGGAAACUUGGAUUAAUGCCCCAUAGUAUCUCCUGAUUAAACAUUUGGCCAUUAGAUGGGUAUGCGUCCUAUUAGUUAGUUGGUAAGGUAACGGCUUACCAAGGCAGCGAUAGGUAGGGGUCCUGAGAGGGAGAUCCCCCACACUGGUACUGAGACACGGACCAGACUCCUACGGGAGGCAGCAGUGAGGAAUAUUGGACAAUGGGCGAGAGCCUGAUCCAGCCAUGCCGCGUGCAGGAAGACUGCCUAUGGGUUGUAAACUGCUUUUACAGAGGAAGAACACUCCCACGUGUGGGAGUUUGACGGUACUCUGCGAAUAAGGAUCGGCUAACUCCGUGCCAGCAGCCGCGGUAAUACGGAGGAUCCAAGCGUUAUCCGGAAUCAUUGGGUUUAAAGGGUCCGUAGGCGGGCAGUUAAGUCAGUGGUGAAAGUCUUCCGCUCAACGGAAGAACUGCCAUUGAUACUGAUUGUCUUGAGUAUUAUGAAGUGGUUAGAAUGAGUAGUGUAGCGGUGAAAUGCAUAGAUAUUACUCAGAAUACCGAUUGCGAAGGCAGAUCACUAAUAAUAUACUGACGCUGAUGGACGAAAGCGUAGGUAGCGAACAGGAUUAGAUACCCUGGUAGUCUACGCCGUAAACGAUGGUUACUAGCUGUUCGGCAUUAAGGGCUGAGUGGUUAAGCGAAAGUGAUAAGUAACCCACCUGGGGAGUACGUUCGCAAGAAUGAAACUCAAAGGAAUUGACGGGGGCCCGCACAAGCGGUGGAGCAUGUGGUUUAAUUCGAUGAUACGCGAGGAACCUUACCAGGGCUUAAAUGUGUCUGACAGGAGUGGAAACACUUUUUUCUUCGGACAGAUUACAAGGUGCUGCAUGGUUGUCGUCAGCUCGUGCCGUGAGGUGUCAGGUUAAGUCCUAUAACGAGCGCAACCCCUGUGGUUAGUUGCCAGCGAGUAAUUCGGGAACUCUAGCCAGACUGCCGGUGCAAACCGGAGGAAGGUGGGGAUGACGUCAAGUCCUCAUGGCCCUUACGGGUUGGGCUACACACGUGCUACAAUGGCAGUGACAAUGGGUUAAUCCCAAAAAGCUGUCUCAGUUCGGAUUGGGGUCUGCAACUCGACCCCAUGAAGUCGGAAUCGCUAGUAAUCGCGUAACAGAUGACGCGGUGAAUACGUUCCCGGGCCUUGUACACACCGCCCGUCACACCAUGGGAGUUGGUUCUACCCGACGGCCGUGCGCUAACCUUUGGAGGCAGCGGACCACGGUGGGUUCAGCGACUGGGGUG
rnacentral:rRNA from 1 species